CCAAGACCUUAGCAGUUUCCUCCAUUUGUCUCACCAUCUCUAUUUUAUACUCACUCUAGAGAGAGAGACGGACAGACAGACAUCAAGAGAGAGAAACCAAGCAUCACAAAAUUCAAAUCUUUUUUCCUUAAAGGUGGGUUCAUCUUCUCCAUCAGCAACACCAUAUAUCAACGGAGAAAUCAAAGGCAGUUGAAAAAGAUCACAGACCAUUCCUACCAGUUAUGAUUACUCUUUGAACAUUCUCGUUAUUGGAGAUUUAGGUGUUGGUAAGAGUCUUCUUCUUAGUUUUAUCUCCACUUCCCUGAAGACACUCUUCAAGUUAUUUCUCCAACAAUUGAAAGACAUUUUCUCCAAAUACUUGAAAUCAGUGAAUCAUCCGAAAUGUGGGCAAUUUGAAGGAAUAAUACUGGAUAAGUUGUUGUGAAAAAGCAUGUUGUGAAGAUUUUGUGCUCCCAUGCUAACACGCUCUGCGAUGAAAUAAUGGCUGAAUCGGUAGCAUACAACGUGGCGAGUAGGCUUAGUGUUUAAAACGUUUCAUGCAAACAAUAGUAGUAAAGACUAUGUUUUUGUUUUUUCGAUAUGUAGUUAUUUGUUUGUUUGGUUGGGUUAUUUUUUUUAUGUAAACUGGAUGUUUAGUUGGUUUGUAAUAUGUUUUUUGGAUUUGUUU